rnacentral:rRNA from 1 species
AGUGAACGCUGGCGGUAGGCCUAACACAUGCAAGUCGAACGGCAGCACAGUAAGAGCUUGCUCUUACGGGUGGCGAGUGGCGGACGGGUGAGGAAUACAUCGGAAUCUACUUUUUCGUGGGGGAUAACGUAGGGAAACUUACGCUAAUACCGCAUACGACCUACGGGUGAAAGCAGGGGAUCUUCGGACCUUGCGCGAUUGAAUGAGCCGAUGUCGGAUUAGCUAGUUGGCGGGGUAAAGGCCCACCAAGGCGACGAUCCGUAGCUGGUCUGAGAGGAUGAUCAGCCACACUGGAACUGAGACACGGUCCUGACUCCUACGGGAGGCAGCAGUGGGGAAUAUUGGACAAUGGGCGCAAGCCUGAUCCAGCCAUACCGCGUGGGUGAAGAAGGCCUUCGGGUUGUAAAGCCCUUUUGUUGGGAAAGAAAAGCAGCAGGUUAAUACCCCGCUGUUCUGACGGUACCCAAGGAAUAAGCACCGGCUAACUUCGUG